UCGUGUAAAAAUUUCCAACAUAUACAACGACCCCUGCAUUGUAAAAUUAUUAAAAGUACCGAACCAUAGUUCCUUUUUAGUUGCGUAGUUAUUUUGCAGGAAGCUUGGAAACCACGUGAUCGCCCAUAAUAAUCGUCCAAUGCUCUUGUAAUGGUAAAUAUUGUUAAAGUAACAAUAUAUAACGUUUUAUUAAAUACACAAUUUAUAUAGAACAGAAUAACUAUUUUAUAUGUAACAUAAUAACUUGAAGUAUUAACGAACACCGCUCUAUUCUCUUAUACAUCUCGAACAGGAAUGAAUUUGUUAUAUUGCACAUUCAUUCGUUCAAUACAUACGCGAUGCGUUCGUCUCAUGGCGUUUUUCUUUCGUCUUCUUCUCUUUCAUUCCUCGCUCGUACAAUACAGAUUUACACACAUCUAUUUUCUAACAAAUCUAAAGAAAGUUACUCGUGACAAAUGCUCUAACAUUAUGGACGCUUCUAUUUAGCGAUAUUAUUGAGAUAUGUGUAAUUUUAUGUGCUACACUGGAUUAACCGCGUAUAGUGACACACAUAUAUGAGUAUGAGUGUGUUGAAGUAUGUGCGUGCGCAGCGUCUCGUAAAACAGAAGAAUGCAAUGUUUCGUACAUAUGGUGGCAAAAAAGAUGGCGUGAGAAAAAGAGUGCUGAAACGCGUACAAUGUUUAUCCAUGAGUAUCUUGUAAAACACAUAUUAUAUAAAUAUGAAACUAUUUUAAUAUCAUUUCUACAUGUAAUAUAUUAUUGACGAAUGGCAAAUUCGUGUCAAAGGAGAAACUUAACCUUUUGCACUUGAGGACUUCUUUGGUCGAGCGUAGCAGCUACUUUGGAUGGUUUAGCGUGUACGUGACGCGUGUAUCAUAGCUAACGUAAAAUUAUUUUAUAUACAAAUUAACUUACAAAAAUAUCAUAUUCUAAUAGUUUAUCUGUAUUUACAUCUUUGAGAAUAUGAUCUUAUAAUAUUAAUUUCUGUAUUUUAUUUUUUGUACGAUAAUUUAUGAAGCAUUCACCAAGAUGCAUUCUUGAAUAUAAUUGAUCUCAUUUUUCAACAGUUCAAAAUCAAGUUCAUUUUUAUUUGAGCUAAUUUCAUUUCUGAAAACCAUUUUUUUAGGAUUUCUAAACUGUAAUACUUUCGCCAUGAUCGUCGAAUCCGAACUAACGUUGGAGACAUUGUUAAAACCGUAGUUUCAGAGGGAUAUGGGAUUAACAGGGACUGUCGCCUCUCGCUCACCACUGAGUUGCAGCACGGAACACUGCCUCUCAAGUGCAAAGGGUUAAAAAUUUACGAGAAACGGUGCAUCUCGUUCCAGCAGAUUGUGUACAUUUCUACGAUAAUUUCAAUAGCGACAGUAGGAUUGUUAGAGUAUAUAAUCUGAAUAAUACCAAUCCACAAAAAAUCAUUAUAGGUAGGUAGGGUUCUGCACAAAAGAGUCCAAUUAUCCAUUAUAUGAACAAGUCUCAACAUUUGGUGGAAAAGUUUUCAACGCCUAUUUAAUAUGCUAAUUCUUCAGUACACUAAUUUUUUACUAAAUAUACAAGCUGUUUGCAAAAUUUUAGUACAAACGGAAAGAAGACUCCGAAGAUUAUCUCCAUCUAAAAAAAAGCCGAAUUUGAAUAUUCGUUAAGAACGAAAUACCUAUAUGAACUAUACGACUCCAUUAAAAAAAAGAAAAGCGUGUCACCUUCGUAUGACCUCUACUUGGCUGUCUACAAAAAAGCUAAUUACACCGGAUUAUGUCUGCUCCGAUACCAUACAACCUCUGGAAGCUGGUGCAUGUGCAAUUGAUGAGUAAUUUAGCUCUUGAAAUUUGAUAUUGUAAGAUUGAUAAAUCGCUAGCAAAAUUGUGAGAUGCUAAGAAAUAUGUAAAAUCAGUUCUCAGUUCCGAGGCCUCCGAAUCCUCAGUUCUAGGAAAAUAUUUUCAAAAAAGAAGCAGCGACUGAUCAACUUUAUCAAUAUAGGCGAAAUAAAAGACAAAAGACAAUUUUUCAGCGAGACUGAAGCGACUUUGAAGCUUUCAAAAUUUCCGGAUAGAAUACGAAAGUUUAUAAUUAGAGAAAGCUACCUGUGGAAAAUAUCGCACAACUUGGAAAAAAGUUACCAUUUUAAUGGAGUCCAUGGUGGAAAAAUGUCGCGUCUACAAGUGCCAAUCGUCGUCAAGUCAUAUUUGUGUUUCAUCUACUAAUUGGAAGUGGAUAUUAGAUAACGCGUAUUGCAUCGAUCAGAAAUAAUCUAAUAAUCCAAAGGAGGAAAUGUCUAGCGAACAAACUGGCUGCUGCAACGUUUUCCACCCAAGAUUCGUCGUGAUGUCUUUUGUGGCAGAAGCACUCGGAAGAAGUUGUCACGCAGCAAUUUCACAGAACGUUUUGCUUUGUCAAUACGCUGUCGAUUGUAUUCUGUUUAAUCCUUUGUUCGACGGUAAGCGUGCGCCGUGGGCUGCAUAUUUUUUACGGAACAGCGAAAGUUGAGCAGACUGAAUUUUCAUUGCAAAAUAUAUCGAUUGUAACUAAAAUAAAUUAUGUAGUGACCUCAAAA